GUAGCUCACAAAGGAAAAAGGUUGGAGACGUCAUUCUGGAAGAUUCAGCCACGCUUCCUCGAAAGUGAUGGAAGGAGGAAUUUGCCUAAAAUCUCACUAUGACUUAAUUUAUUCUUUCCUUUACAUGGAUCAAUCAUCCUGUGCUAUUGGCAGAAAAAAGUGUCGUAUGACUGACCUGAAAGCAGAUGGAGCAGACGUCGUCGUGCUGCUGCAGCUGCUGCUCUGAGGCUGCAGGAAGAGAGCUGAUCUUCUUGGCUGCUGCUCGCCUGAGCAGGAAGCUCCUCCAUCCAGUCUGAGCUCUCAGCCACACGUUGAAGUACGAGUGGAUGAUGAUGACGGACGCUCCCAUCCAGCUCCACUCCCCAAACAGAGACUCCCAGGUGCCGUAAGCCACCACACAGAGCGCCACCAGGAACUCCAGCACCCGGCUGACGGCGUGAACCCAGUAGAUCACCUCAUCCAGACUCUCGAUUGGGUCGCUGCGGAACAGCUCCACCAUGAAGAGCAGAUAGAUCAGCAUGGUUCCUGUCACCUGGAGAGAUGACAAAGUCACCAGGAUAAAUGAGAAAAUUCCUUGGAAUAAAUUAGGGAUCGUGAGAUCAA